rnacentral:rRNA from 11 species
GCUGGCCGAAAUUCCCUAAAGGCACCAGCUCCCAUCUGAUAUUGGAAGCUAAGCAUGGUCAGUUCUAGUUAGUACUUGAAUGGGAAACUUCCAGACUGGAACAUUUAUACUUGCUAGCA